CAUGAAUGUGUUGAAUUAGUAAUCCUUUGUGUUAAGCUGUUGUUUUAGUGUUCUUUUGAUGAGUUUGGCUUGUUGUUAUGAAAAGUGUUUUUUUUGCGAGUUUGAACGUUUUUGAGCAUGUGUAAUGGCAUGAAUGUGUUGAAUUAGUAAUCCCUUGUGUUAAAGCUGUUGUUUUAGUGUUCUUUUGAUGAGUUUUGCUUGUUGUUAUGAAAAGUGUUUGUUUUGGCGAGUUUGAACGUUUUUGAGCAUGUGUAAUGGCAUGAAUGCGUUAAGCUGUUGUUUUAGUGUUCUUUUGAUGAGUUUGGCUUGUUAUGAAAAGUGUUUGUUUUGGCGAGUUUGAACGUUUUUGAGCAUGUGUAAUGGCAUGAAUGCGUUAAGCUGUUGUUUCAGUGUUCUUUUGAUGAGUUUGGCUUGUUGUUAUGAACAUUGUUCGUUUUGGCCAGUUUGAAGGUUUUUGAGCAUGUGUAAUGGCAUGAAUGUGUUUAAUUAGUAAUUCCUUGUGUAAAGCUGUUGUUUUAGUGUUCUUUUGAUGAGUUUGGCUUGUUGUUAUGAACAGUGUUUGUUUUUGCGAGUUUGAACAUUUUUGAGCAUGUGUAAUGGCAUGAAUGCGUUAAACUGUUGUUUUAGUGUUCUUUUGAUGAGAUUGGCUUGUUGUUAUGAACAUUGUUCGUUUUGGCCUGUUUGAAGGUUUUUGAGCAUGUGUAAUGGCAUGAAUGUGUUGAAUUAGUAAUCCCUUGUGUUAAGCUGUUGUUUUAGUGUUCUUUUGAUGAGUUUUGCUUGUUGUUAUGAAAAGUGUUUGUUUUG